rnacentral:rRNA from 1 species
UACAGAGGUCCCAAGCGUUGUUCGGAUUCACUGGGCGUAAAGGGUGCGUAGGUGGUUGGGUAAGUUUGAUGUGAAAUCUCCGGGCUUAACCCGGAAACUGCAUUGAAUACUAUCUGGCUAGAGGGUUGGAGGGGGGACUGGAAUACUUGGUGUAGCAGUGAAAUGCGUAGAUAUCAAGCGGAACACCAGUGGCGAAGGCGAGUCCCUGGACAACUCCUGACACUGAGGCACGAAAGCUAGGGGAGCAAACAGG